GCAACUUCCACACUUUAUUCUGCUACAAAGGAAACCAAAAGCUAAGAAGCUGCAUAGAAGAAUAAUGUGCAUCACUGCAACACAACGCAUUCUGUUUCAUCAAAUCCAUACUUCCAAGAACAGGAGACGUUUAAAAAGGUCCAAACUUCAAGUUCAGAGGCUUUCCAGAAGGAGAUCAUUUGAAGAGAAGCAGGGGAAGGAUAUUGAGCUGAAGAAUCUGCAGCUGUAUUUGGAGAACCAAACUAUAAUUGAAGAGAAUGAGAAGCUGAGGGAGAAAGCUAAUAUCCUUCAUCAAGAGAACUUGGCUUUAAUGACUGAGUUUCACAAAAAAUUCCCACAUUUUGAUCAGAGAAAAUGAUGGGAUUCAUCAGAGGGUGACAUGGUUUUAUCUCUUCCUUUCUUAAUGUAUUCGACUCUUUAUUCAAUAUAUGUGUGCACUUUGUCAAGAACA